AGGCUAAAUUGCACUUUUGGCCCCCUAAGUUUCAGAAACUUGCAAUUUUGACCCCUUAUGUUUCAAAAUAGCAUUUAUAGUCCCCUAAGUUUCAAAAAGUUGCGAUUUUGGCCCCCUAUGUUUCAAAAUAGCAAUUUUGGCCCCCUAAGUUUCAGUAGUUGCGAUUUUGGCCACCUAUGUUUCAAAAUAGCACUUUUGGCCCA
rnacentral:lncRNA from 1 species